GAAGCCCCAGUAAACGGCGGCCGUAACUAUAACGGUCCUAAGGUAGCGAAAUUCCUUGUCGGGUAAGUUCCGACCUGCACGAAUGGCGUAACGAUGGCCCCACUGUCUCCACCGGCGACUCAGCGAAAUUGUAUUGGCGGCGCAGAUGCCGUCUACCCGCGGAAAGACGGAAAGACCCUGUGCACCUUUACUGCAACUUGGCAGUGAAAUUCGAAGGAGUCUGUGUAGGAUAGGUGGGAGGCUUUGAAGCCGGGCCGCUAGACUCGGUGGAGCCAACCUUGAAAUACCACCCUGAUUGUUUUGGAUUUCUAACUCAGUCCCCUGAUCGGGGACGAGGACACUGCCUGGUGGGUAGUUUGACUGGGGCGGUCGCCUCCCAAAUUGUAACGGAGGCGCGCAAAGGUUCCCUCAGGCUGAUUAGAAACCAGCCGUUGAGUGUAAAAGCAGAAGGGAGCUUGACUGCGAGACCUACAAGUCGAGCAGGUACGAAAGUAGGCUUUAGUGAUCCGGUGGUUCUGUAUGGAAGGGCCAUCGCUCAUCGGACAAAAGGUACGCCGGGGAUAACAGGCUGAUCGCAUCCAAGAGUUCACAUCGACGAUGCGGUUUGGCACCUCGAUGUCGGCUCAUCGCAUCCUGGGGCUGAAGUAGGUCCCAAGGGUUUGGCUGUUCGCCAAUUAAAGCGGUACGCGAGCUGGGUUCAAAACGUCGUGAGACAGUUUGGUCCCUAUCUUCCGUGGGCGCAGGAGAAUUGAGAGGAUCUGUCCUUAGUACGAGAGGACCGGGAUGGACGGACCGCUAGUGUUCCGGCUGUUACGCCAGUAGCAGACGCCGGGUAGCUAAGUCCGGAUCGGAUAAGCGCUGAAAGCAUAUAAGUGCGAAACCGACCUCAAGAUAAGUUCUCCCAACUCCGUGAGGGGUAAGAAGACCACUCGUAGACUACGAGUUUGAUAGGCUGGGUGUGUAAGAGCAGUUAAUGUUCUUAGCUGACCAGUACUAAUCGGUCGUUCGGCUUGACCAU
rnacentral:rRNA from 1 species